rnacentral:rRNA from 1 species
UACGAAGGGAGCUAGCGUUGUUCGGAAUUACUGGGCGUAAAGGGCGCGUAGGCGGUUUUAUAAGUUUGGUGUGAAAGCCCUGGGCUUAACCUAGGAAUAGCAUUAGAUACUGUAAGACUUGAGACCGAGAGAGGGAAAUGGAAUUGCGAGUGUAGAGGUGAAAUUCGUAGAUAUUCGCAAGAACACCAGUGGCGAAGGCGAUUUCCUGGCUCGGUACUGACGCUAAGGCGCGAAAGCGUGGGGAGCAAACAGG